rnacentral:rRNA from 1 species
AUUGAACGCUGGCGGCAGGCUUAACACAUGCAAGUCGAGCGGGGUGAUGGUGCUUGCACUAUCACUUAGCGGCGGACGGGUGAGUAAUGCUUAGGAAUCUGCCUAUUAGUGGGGGACAACAUCUCGAAAGGGAUGCUAAUACCGCAUACGUCCUACGGGAGAAAGCAGGGGAUCACUUGUGACCUUGCGCUAAUAGAUGAGCCUAGGUCGGAGUAGCUAGUUGGUGGGGUAAAGGCCUACCAAGGCGACGAUCGGUAGCGGGUCUGAGAGGUUGAUCCGCCACACUGGGACUGAGACACGGCCCAGACUCCUACGGGAGGCAGCAGUGGGGAAUAUUGGACAAUGGGGGGAACCCUGAUCCAGCCAUGCCGCGUGUGUGAAGAAGGCCUUAUGGUUGUAAAGCACUUUAAGCGAGGAGGAGGCUCUUUUGGUUAAUACCCAAGAUGAGUGGACGUUACUCGCAGAAUAGGCACCGGCUAACUCUGUGCCAGCCGCCGCGGUAA